AUUGAACGCUGGCGGCAGGCCUAACACAUGCCAGUCGAACGGUAACAGAAAGCAGCUUGCUGCUUUGCCGACGAGUGGCGGACGGGUGAGUAAUGUCUGGGAAACUGCCUGAUGGAGGGGGAUAACUACUGGAAACGGUAGCUAAUACCGCAUAACGUCGCAAGACCAAAGAGGGGGACCUUCGGGCCUCUUGCCAUCGGAUGUGCCCAGAUGGGAUUAGCUAGUAGGUGGGGUAAAGGCUCACCUAGGCGACGAUCCCUAGCUGGCCUGAGAGGAUGACCAGCCACACUGGAACUGAGACACGGUCCAGACUCCUACGGGAGGCAGCAGUGGGGAAUAUUGCACAAUGGGCGCAAGCCUGAUGCAGCCAUGCCGCGUGUAUGAAGAAGGCCUUCGGGUUGUAAAGUACUUUCAGCGGGGAGGAAGGGAGUAAAGUUAAUACCUUUGCUCAUUGACGUUACCCGCAGAAGAAGCACCGGCUAACUCCGUG
rnacentral:rRNA from 1 species